UACGUAGGGGGCAAGCGUUGUCCGGAUUUAUUGGGCGUAAAGCGCGCGUAGGCGGUCUGUUAAGUGGGAUGUGAAAUCCCCGGGCUUAACCUGGGAAUUGCAUUUCAAACUGGCCGACUAGAGUACGGUAGAGGGAGGUAGAAUUUCCUGUGUAGCGGUGAAAUGCGUAGAUAUAGGAAGGAAUACCAGUGGCGAAGGCGGCCUCCUGGAUCGAUACUGACGCUGAGGCGCGAAAGCGUGGGGAGCAAACAGG
rnacentral:rRNA from 1 species